rnacentral:lncRNA from 1 species
AAUACAUUGGUGCUAUUGAGAGUUAAAAGUCAGAACUCAUGAUGGAGUCUCGGUCAUGAAAGAGCCCAAGGCAGGCAGUUGCCCCCAGAAUGACAAGACAACGUAAAGAGAGAAAAAGUAGCUUGAAGCUAUUCUUGAAAAGUCAGUCAGGGAGAGAAGCAAUCUAAGGGGAAAGAAGAGUAGGAACAAAGGUAUAGAGGAAUCUGUAGUAAUUUGAGAAACAGAGCAGAGCUGCAUGAUGUGCAGGGCCAAGACAGGGAUGCAUGGGAUAGGGAGAGUUACAAGCUGCAGAGGGGAGAGGUAAAUUAAGCAUGGUUUUUGCAAGCUAUGCUGAAGAUCUUAGAAGGGCCAACGGACAACAGUGAAAGAUUUUAAGCAGGAAAGAAAUAUGGACACCAUCAGACUGGUGUCAGAAACCCUGUAAAGAGAAACUAGAAUUCCAGAAAUCCAAAGACAAAGCCAGGAGAUUCUAAAGAUAGAGAGAGUAAGAAGAACAAGGAGAAGUGGGCAGAGCCAUAGUGAACUAGGGCCACACACGACACUUCAGUGAAAGGGUGGAGGUUCACCAAGCACAGCUACUCUUAGUGGUUCAUGUAGCUGAGUCAGAGUGAGAAGCUACUGGUCAAAAGUCAGUGCCCAGUGUAGCGUCACUGAGCAAGAACAGCCUCAUAACAGCUCCCUUCAUGGAACCCCUGCCUCACCUAAAAUGAAUGGAAAGUUCUAGAGCAAGAAAGCUACAAGAUAAUGCAGCAAGAAGACCAG